CCCUAUGGGGUGCAGCAGGCGAGAAAACUUUGCAAUGCGCGAAAGCACGACAAGGUUAAUCCGAGUGGUUUCUGCUAAAGGAACCUUUUGUCAGUCCUAGAAACACUGAUGAAUAAGGGGUGGGCAAGUUCUGGUGUCAGCCGCCGCGGUAAAACCAGCACCUCAAGUGGUCAGGAUGAUUAUUGGGCCUAAAGCAUCCGUAGCCUGCUUUGUUAGUUUUCGGUUAAAUCCAUACGCUCAACGUAUGGGCUGCCGGGAAUACUGCAAAGCUAGGGAGUGGGAGAGGUAGACGGUACUCGGUAGGAAGGGGUAAAAUCCUUUGAUCUAUUGAUGACCACCUGUGGCGAAGGCGGUCUACCAGAACACGUCCGACGGUGAGGGAUGAAAGCUGGGGGAGCAAACCGGAUUAGAUACCCGGGUAGUCCCAGCUGUAAACUAUGCAAACUCGGUGAUGCAUUGGCUUGAUGCCAAUGCAGUGCCGCAGGGAAGCCGUUAAGUUUGCCGCCUGGGAAGUACGUACGCAAGUAUGAAACUUAAAGGAAUUGGCGGGGGAGCACCACAAGGGGUGAAGCCUGCGGUUCAAUUGGAGUCAACGCCAGAAAUCUUACCCGGAGAGACAGCAGAAUGAAGGUCAAGCUGAAGACUUUACCAGACAAGCUGAGAAGAAGUGCAUGGCC
rnacentral:rRNA from 1 species